rnacentral:rRNA from 1 species
UCCUACGGGAGGCAGCAGUGGGGAAUCUUAGACAAUGGGGGCAACCCUGAUCUAGCCAUGCCGCGUGAGUGAUGAAGGCCUUAGGGUCGUAAAGCUCUUUCGCCUGUGAUGAUAAUGACAGUAGCAGGUAAAGAAACCCCGGCUAACUCCGUGCCAGCAGCCGCGGUAAUACGGAGGGGGUUAGCGUUGUUCGGAAUUACUGGGCGUAAAGCGCGCGUAGGCGGAUUAGAAAGUUGGGGGUGAAAUCCCGGGGCUCAACCUCGGAACUGCCUCCAAAACUGCUAGUCUAGAGUUCGAGAGAGGUGAGUGGAAUUCCGAGUGUAGAGGUGAAAUUCGUAGAUAUUCGGAGGAACACCAGUGGCGAAGGCGGCUCACUGGCUCGAUACUGACGCUGAGGUGCGAAAGUGUGGGGAGCAAACAGGAUUAGAUACCCUGGUAGUCCACACCGUAAACGAUGAAUGCCAGUCGUCGGGUAGUAUACUAUUCGGUGACACACCUAACGGAUUAAGCAUUCCGCCUGGGGAGUACGGUCGCAAGAUUAAAACUCA